rnacentral:rRNA from 1 species
GACAGAGGUGGCAAGCGUUGUUCGGAUUCAUUGGGUGUAAAGGGCAGGUAGGUUGUUAUGUAAGUCUGGUGUGAAAUCCCACGGCUCAACCGUGGAACGGCACUGGAAACUGCAUGACUUGAGUACUGGAGAGGUGAGGGGAAUUCUCGGUGUAAGGGUGAAAUCUGUAGAUAUCGAGAGGAACACCAGUGGCGAAGGCGCCUCACUGGCCGGUUACUGACACUGAGCUGCGAAAGCAAGGGGAGCAAACAGG